UCAGGUUGCCAUGGUGAUGUGAUGUCACAAUGUCCCUUUCAGUGGACACUGAGUGUAACGUACACAGUCAGAUCAGAGUUGUGACAAGCUUCCGAGCGUAAGCAACUCCCUAAACUUUAUCUAAGAGAAACUUUAUUUUCCAAAAUUUAACUGAUCAAUUUGAAAACAUUUAAACGAGAGACCAAUGAAACACAAAAGGAAAUCUUAUCCUAAUUCAGAAGAUUCGAUUGAUUCAAUUGUACAAGAACAAACCCAGAAACUUUUCUAUGUGUUCAUAUUUCUGGUGAUAUUCACUAUAGUGAUAAAUUGCUGGGGACAGUUGGCCAUACAUCAGCAUAAGGUUAAAGCUGAAAAUAGGCAAAAGCUGCUUGACCUCCAGAGGAGAGAAAUGGAGGAGAAAAUUAGAAUUAAUAAUGAAAAGUUGGCAGAGAUUACUAAAA